CUUUAGACCUGUGACCAGA
rnacentral:misc_RNA from 1 species